AACGAACGCUGGCGGCAUGCCUAACACAUGCAAGUCGAACGAGACCUUCGGGUCUAGUGGCGCACGGGUGCGUAACGCGUGGGAACCGGCCCUUAGGUUCGGAAUAACUCCCCGAAAGGGGUGCUAAUACCGGAUAAUGUCUUCGGACCAAAGAUUUAUCGCCUUUGGAUGGGCCCGCGUUGGAUUAGCUAGUUGGUAGGGUAAAAGCCUACCAAGGCGACGAUCCAUAGCUGGUCUGAGAGGAUGAUCAGCCACACUGGGACUGAGACACGGCCCAGACUCCUACGGGAGGCAGCAGUGGGGAAUAUUGGACAAUGGGCGAAAGCCUGAUCCAGCAAUGCCGCGUGAGUGAUGAAGGCCUUAGGGUUGUAAAGCUCUUUUACCCGGGAUGAUAAUGACAGUACCGGGAGAAUAAGCUCCGGCUAACUCCGUG
rnacentral:rRNA from 1 species